GCGAAGGGGGCACAUUCAGGGUUUUCUGGAUGUCGGGAAGGAACCGCCGGGGGUGCUUUAGAAGUGGCCCGAGCCCGCCCCUGCACGCAGCUCGCACAGAAAGCGCCUGGACGCUCCCUUGGGACCUUUUGAACUCUGGCCGCUCGACCAAAACACCCUUUUGAAAAGGUGGUAUUCACUGGGCUGUCAGAAUUCAGGAACACCAAAUUAAGGCUAAUAAAACCGUGUUGGGCUCAGAACUGAGCGCCUUGGUUUUAAUCCCGACGCUUUGGAUUAAUACCAGGGGCGAAUUUCAAACAUUCAGGGCAGCUCUUUGGAAGAAAUAAAGAAGAUAGGAACGUCAUACAGAUUUAUUACAGAUUUAUUAAACAAUUUGUGUUUGUUUAUGCUGGAAGAGCUGGGGGGUGGUGGUUUUUGCCAAGAGCACCCCUACCAGUUAGGAAAGUGCGAAGGGAGUCAUUGCGAAGGCAGCCAAAGACCGAAACAGUGCCCUGCAAGUUUUUCCCAAGUCCCCUUGGGAAAGGCGAGCCUGAGAGGGAGAGGCGCUUUUCACCAAAACGUAUUUUGCAGAGGGCGGGAGGGAGCUUCCCGCUUCCCGCUUCCCGCUUCCCGCUUCCCGCUUCCCGCUUCCCGCUUCCCGCUCCCCGCUCCCGGAGUCGCCUGGAGCCUGUGCCCAAAGUUUCUGGUGACCAGAAAGGGACGGCUGGAUACCUUACUCACUUCAGAUCCUACUGACGGGAUCCUGGGAAACUGACAAAAGCCAGAAAAAGGUAAGCAUUCUCCCAGAGUCAGCUUUCUCAGAUAUCUGUUUGUAGCACCCAGUUAAGAGAGGAAGGUAAAAAAUUUCUCCUUGUGACUUUUUCUUUUCCAUAUUCAUAUUUGCAGAAGAAAAACUUGGAAACAUUAGUUCUUUGGAUUAUGAUUCUUGCACAUUUGACUAACUUGGUUUUGGGGUACAUCUUGUUUACUGAUUCUUUCCAUGCCAGAGACAGCUACUGCUUUCCUAGUUAUCUCAUUUUGCAUCCUGAGAGCUUGGCUUGGCUUUCUGCCUGCCAGGGAAAUGUGCAGACAGUCAACCAUCAGGUUGUUGGCCCUGAGAAUAUGGCCUGAUGGAAAUGCAGGUUGCACCUCAUUCUCCGCUAAUGUUCUACUGACUGUUGCCAGCCCCAAGAAGGGCCAUCUAAGUCUUUCUUGUGGCUAUCUUUGGGAGUGGUCUGGAUCUUGAAAGGCUGCCUUUUUUGCACUCUCUUUGAAGAUGGCUCUUGUGUCCACAGUUAAGCUAUAAAAGUCUUAUUGGUUGAAAGUCAUAAAAGG
rnacentral:lncRNA from 1 species